rnacentral:rRNA from 2 species
GUGCCAUGCGCAGCUAUAAUGCAGUCGAGCGAUGGAUUAGGAGCUUGCUCUUUGAAGUUAGCGGCGGACGGGUGAGUAACACGUGGGUAACCUGCCCUUAAGAUUGGGAUAACUCCGGGAAACCGGGGCUAAUACCGAAUAAUCUUUUUUACUUCAUGGUUCGAAAUUGAAAGGCGGCUUCGGCUGUCACUUAUGGAUGGACCCGCGUCGCAUUAGCUAGUUGGUGAGGUAACGGCUCACCAAGGCAACGAUGCGUAGCCGACCUGAGAGGGUGAUCGGCCACACUGGGACUGAGACACGGCCCAGACUCCUACGGGAGGCAGCAGUAGGGAAUCUUCCGCAAUGGACGAAAGUCUGACGGAGCAACGCCGCGUGAGUGAUGAAGGCUUUCGGGUCGUAAAACUCUGUUGUUAGGGAAGAACAAGUGCUAGUUGAAUAAGCUGGAACCUUGACGGUACCUAAUCAGAAAGCCACGGCUAACUACGUGCCAGCAGCCGCGGUAAUACGUAGGUGGCAAGCGUUAUCCGGAAUUAUUGGGCGUAAAGCGCGCGCAGGUGGUUUCUUAAGUCUGAUGUGAAAGCCCACGGCUCAACCGUGAAGGGUCAUUGGAAACUGGGAGACUUGAGUGCAAAAAAGGAAA